AUGUCGAUGCACAUUUGCAAGCUUUUUCUCUUGGGACUUGUAUGCAUUGCGUUGGUUCUAUCUUCAGCAGGAGCUACCCAAGGUGAUACUUUUCAAUCAAAAUGCAUUUUUGGAAAUUGUGGAGAUUGCGAAAAAAGAUGCAUUCAGGCGGGAUUUGAAGUUGGUUCAUGUACUUUUGAAGGGGAUUGUUGUUGCUAUAAACCUUUUUGA